rnacentral:rRNA from 1 species
UUUUCGUCAAUGGGGGCAACCCUGAACGAGCAAUGCCGCGUGAGCGAAGAAGGUCUUCGGAUUGUAAAAGCUUCUGGUUGACCGGGGAAAAAGGAAGGAAAGAGGAAAUGUCUUUUUCUUUGGAUGGUACCCGGCCAGAAAGUCACGGCUAACUACGUGCC